AAUGUGUGUGUUGGUGUGUGUUUGUGUGGGUGUGUGUGUGUGUGUGUGUGUGUGUGUGUGUGUGUGGUUGACCCUUACUCACAUUAUCACAACUCUCAUUUACACUGUGGGUGUUUUUAUGUGUGUUUUGU